GACGAACGCUGGCGGCGUGCUUAACACAUGCAAGUCGAACGGAAAGGCCCUGCUUUUGGGGUACUCACGUGGCGAACGGGUGAGUAACACGUGGGUGAUCUGCCCUCCACUUCGGGUUAAGCCUGUGCAACUGGGUCUAAUACCUGCUAGGUGCCAUUUUUAGUGUGAUGGUUGGAUAGUUUUUUCGGUGUUUGGUGAGCUCGCGGCCUAUCUGCUUGUUGGUGUGGUAAUGUGCUACCAAGGCGGCGACGGGUAGCCGGCCUGAGUGGGUGGACAGCGACAUUGGGACUGAGGGAAGGCACAGGCAGCGAAGGGAGGGAGAAGGGGGGAAGAUUGAACGAUGGGCGCAAGGCUGAUGAAGAGAGGCCGCGGGGGGGAUGACGGCCUUAGGGGUGAAAACCCAAUGCGCUAGGGACGAAGCUUUUUGUGACGGUACCUAGAUAAGAAGCAACGGCUAACUACGUG
rnacentral:rRNA from 1 species